rnacentral:rRNA from 1 species
AGCAGCCGCGGUAAUUCCAGCUCCAAUAGCGUAUAUUAAAGUUGUUGCAGUUAAAAAGCUCGUAGUUGGAUUUCUGGGAGGGUGCCAAUGUCCGCUCGUUCGCGUGUGCAGCGGCGCCCUUCCAUCCUUCUGUUAACGUUUCUUGGUAUUCAGUUACUGGUUUCGGGCUCAGAUAUUUUACCUUGAGAAAAU